ACGCUCGACACCUACGGGGGGCAGCAGUGGGGAAUAUUGCACAAUGGGGGAAACCCUGAUGCAGCGACGCCGCGUGAGCGAAGAAGUAUUUCGGUAUGUAAAGCUCUAUCAGCAGGGAAGAAACUGACGGUACCUGACUAAGAAGCACCGGCUAAAUACGUGCAAGCAGCCGCGGUAAUCUGAGCGGGCUGGCAAGGC
rnacentral:rRNA from 1 species